CCCAUGCAGCCGGUGACUGGCUGCAGGGUAGACACGCCCCAUGCAAGGCUGGAAGGCGGGAUCAGGGGACUCCUGUUGCUCUCCGACCUUCCCCGCGCCACCGACGGAAGCCGGCUGGCGUCGGGCGCCCUCUCCUGGCCUCUUCUCUUUCCUGGCUACCGUUGAAUGCGCGGCCUGACGCGUUGGAACCGCCACCUGGGCUUCCAUAACGCAGGGCUUCUCUGGCAGUCAGACGGCCCUGGGCUUGGCAGUCACUGGGGGGGUCGGUUGGGUGCCAGGACGGCUCUCCAACCUGAGAGGCCCCCUGGAGCCUGUCGGUGGGACAGAGACUACUUCUGGGUUGCUCGUCUGGGGAGGCUCAGUUCACCAGGAGCCUGUGUGCAUUCAGCCCGCCACCAAGUCGGUUACCGGAAAAUCAGCUUUCCAGUCAGCAUAAGUAGGCCAGUCGUCCAAAAGUGGGGUGCUUCCCGCAGCGAGUCGGAAAAGCCGUUUGUAGCAUUUAGACUCUGCCAAGGUCAUACACGGUCGGAAGCGUGCUGAGGAGGAAAAAUAUCCUGGAGCCCUUGCAACGAGAGCCAAAGUUACCUGCCGUCUCGUCCCUUCUGAACCACAUGGCUCUGACGCGAGAGCCAGCUGAGGCAAAGACCCUGGGCCCCUCCUCUUCCUGAGGACCACUGCUGCUGCAGAUGGGAAAGAGUUAUUUUCUUCCCCAGACUUUCAUGAAAGGGCUGAUCCAGGGUGUUGUCUAUGGAGCCAUUGCAGCCUCACUGCUGUUUUUCUGCCUCAUCCCACUCAUCACCGCUUACCUUAAACUUCCAGAAAAAGCAAGAUAAAGUGGAGCUCAUGAAACCUAUGAAAACUACGUGCCUACCUGGAGUCCCCAAUAUCUGCGGGAUUACCAAAGUCCACGGAAUCCUUAGGCACCCCAGAAACCCUGGAGUCUAUAACAAACCCGGAUCCCUGGAGCCUCCUCAGCUCACAAAGCCCUCUCAAGCCCCACCUGUCCCUCACACGGACUGGUUCUCCAUUGAGUAGGGUUACUCUGGGACCUGGUCUUAGAAUCUUUACAAGCAAACUCUAUGAUCUGUUGUUCGGGUUAACCAGAAGUAUGCUCUGGCCUAGAAUGGUAUCAACGAAAGGAAAAAUAAAUGUGAGACUAUGGUCCAGAAGUAGCUUUGGAGCCCCUACUGUAUGCCCAGAACCUGGAAUAUACAUACAAGAGCACCAGGCUUUGGAGCCAUCAUAUAUGGAUUGAAUCCCAACUUUAAUGCUUAGUGGCUAUAUGUCUUUGGAUGAAACCUUUUCACCACUGCACCCUUUGAACUUCGGUAUCCUGACCCGAGGCAUAUGUAGGUAGAUAGUGAGUGAAAAGUGGUAUCCAGAGGUCCAGGUGGAGAAAAGACACAAAGACCAUCCCUGAAUGCCAAGACAAGGCAUUGGAGCCUUAAUCUUGACUCCCUUAGAAUGUAAGUUCCACAAGAACAGGUAUCUUCUCUGUCUUGGUUUCUACUUGAACCACCAGCACCUAGAAUGGUUCCUAAAAUAUAAGACUCUCAAAGAUGUUUGUUGAAUAACUGAAUGGAUGAAUGAAUGAAUGAAUGAAUGAUAAGCUGUUGCAAGGUUUGAAGCAAAGAAUGAUACAUAGUGAAAUCGUGCUAGGAGUAGUUAUGGAACUCAGAAGAUAGAAGACCGGAGGCAAAGAGCCUAGUUAAGAGGUUAGUGCAGUAUUUCUUGGCUGAAAGACAGGCAUACAAGAAAUGAGAACAGGGAUCUGGCAAGAGGAUGGACAAUGGCUGUGUAUUGUUCCCCUCUGAGUGGAUGGCAUCCUCCCUUCUGGAGCCAGAUGCUGGUAAUUUUCAGAGGUUGCAAAAAGGGGUCAUCUCUUCCCUGAAGCAUUAUUUGUGCAUAAAUCCAAUGGUUCUCCAUCCAGCACCAAUGUGAUGGUCAUCCCGUACUCAAGAGCAGAUGUUUAUAUAGGCCCCCAUGCACGGUCACUCCUUUGGCAUGCAGUUCACACAUUCCACAAAAAUAUAAGCAUCCACCUUGUGCCGGGUAGUGGAGUGAACCAGACAGACACUGGCCCUGCCUCCGUGGAGCUCGUGGUCCACACAGGUACACAAACAACAAUGAAAUAAACACAAAACUGCAGCUUACAAUGUUGACAAGUGCUAGGAAGAAAAAGGAUAUAAUACUAUGAGAAAGUAUGAGGAACAAGGGGAAGAACCCAGUUUGGAUUAGAGAAUCAGAGAAGGCCUCUCUGAGAAAGUGACAUUUGGGCUGAGAGACCAAAAGGAUUAUCAGGGGCUACUCGGAGGGACAGCAGAUUCUAGGCUCUGUGAUGGGAGAAGUUUAGUGAGUCUAAGAGCCCAGGUCUAUGCCCCGGAACUCAGGUGGAAGGGUGAGCUCCGGACGUGCCAGAUCUUUCAGGGCCUCAAAGGCUCUGCUGAGAAGUUUUAAGUUCUAUCCUCACUCACAGAGGGUUAUUUCCUCAUGUGCUCUGUAACUUCGGAACGUGUGGUCCUAAGCGGCAGAGAAUGCCAUCUAGACGAGAAAUGGGAGAGAGGAUGGGAACUGGGUUGGGAACAGGUCAGGGAUGGGUUUGGACAAGAGAAUGAAGAGCUGGGUCUUCCUCACGUGUCUCGCUUUGUUCGUGAUAGGGAUCUUGCUUGCGGGAAGGGAAAUGGGGCACAAGAUGCCUUCUCAUCGUCCCUGAGGGUCGAGCACAUGGCAUUUUGUUCCUUGGUCGAUGGCUUUCAAUUCACCGCCCAUCACCUGCUUGCCCACAGUACUGGCUUGAGGAAGGAGUGUCUCUUAAAGGCUGAUUAGGCCUGCAGUUCCCAGGGCUGGUAGGGUUUUAGAACCUUCUGCUCAAGAUAAACGAACUGCCGCUUGCUCCAGACUGCCUCAGGCGCGGGAGACUCAAGGGUUCUACUGCACGGACCCUCCCCGUCCCAGCAGCCCCCGCGUGCAUCAUUAGGCCCUGAUUGGCUCCAGACGGAUUCACGUGUGCUAACGGCAUGCCUGAGGGGCGGGACUUCGCGGGGCGGCUUCCACACGUGACCUCUGCCUGGUCGGACGUUGGUGAGGCUGGGGAUUCCCAGGCCGCCUACUGAACUUGUUAUGAGUCAGCCUGAUGCGUUAGCCUUCCUCUCCCUUCGUCCCUUCACGAUGAUUCCCGUAGAUAGUGAGUCGGCCAAUCGAUCACGUGAUGCACUCGGCCAAACUCGAUGAGGAUGUUCAGUGGUCUGGAAAGUAGCCUAGCAGAGACCUGCUGAGGCGGGCCCGGGUUGGCGCUGUGGGAACCCAAGACAAGGGGUAAGUCUGGAAAAGGAAAUGAUCAUUUAGCGGGAGGGGAAAGAGGUUUCCUGUGGAGACAACCCGUGGCUGCACCAGGCCCUGGAGAAGGGAAUGAGAAAUUGGGAGAGAUCGGAAUUUUAAAGUCAGAAGGACCAUUACACACUGGGCUAUAACACCUUCUCAUUUUAUAGAUGGGAGAAAUGGGAGGGAAACCAGAAAGGGAACAGCACUUGCCUAAAACUUCCAGCGAGUAACCUGCAAAGCCCAGUGUGGAACCACCACAGAGCUCUCCUCAGUCUUCGACCUGAAGUUGUAAAUAAAUCACUAUAUUCAAUUAGAUUCUGAGAAGUAAUUUAAAACUAGAAUUUUUAAUGUAAAAAAUUUAAAAAAAAUCUAAUCGA